ensembl:snRNA
GUGUUUUAUGAGAAGAGAGGCUAACACUACUUUCGAUAAGGAUGGAAGAGGUUCUGAUGGUCUUUACAGAAUAUAUAGUUAAAGCAUUGCUACUUACUCUGUGCCAUCUAACCAAGUGAGAUA